AAAGGAAUUGACGGGGGCCCGCACAAGCGGAGGAACAUGUGGUUUAAUUCGAUGAUACGCGAGGAACCUUACCUGGGCUCGAACGCAUUCGGAAGCGCACGGAAACGUGCGUGCCAGCGAUGGCCGUUUGCGAGGUGCUGCAUGGUUGUCGUCAGCUCGUGCCGUGAGGUGUCGGGUUAAGUCCCACAACGAGCGCAACCCCUACUGCUAGUUGCCAGCGCGUGAUGGCGGGGACUCUAGCGGAACUGCCGGCGUAAGCCGUGAGGAAGGUGGGGAUGACGUCAAAUCAGCACGGCCCUUAUGUCCAGGGCUACACACGUGUUACAAUGGCCGGUACAGAGGGCAGCCACCCCGCGAGGGGGCGCGAAUCCCCAAAGCCGGUCUCAGUUCGGAUCGGAGUCUGCAACCCGACUCCGUGAAGCUGGAUUCGCUAGUAAUCGCGCAUCAGCCACGGCGCGGUGAAUACGUUCCCGGGCCUUGUACACACCGCCCGU
rnacentral:rRNA from 1 species